rnacentral:tRNA from 1 species
GCCUCCAUGUUGAAAUAGGUAUACAAGAGGCACUUAAAAUGCCUUGAGCAGUAAUGCUCAUGUGGGUUCAAGUCCCACUGGAGGUA